rnacentral:piRNA from 1 species
AACUACGAACUCGAAAUACGCUUUACUG